rnacentral:SRP_RNA from 1 species
GCUGGGUGCGGUGGCGCAUGCUUGUAGUCCCAGCUACUUGGGAGGCUGAAGGUGGGAGGAUUGCUUGAGCCCAGGAGUUCUGGGCUGUAAUGUGCUAUGCAGAUCGGGUGUCCGCACUAAGUUCGGCAUCAAUAUGGUGACCUCCCGGGAGCGGGGGACCACCAGGUUGCCUAAGGAGCGGGGAACCGGCCCAGGUCGGAAACGGCGCAAGUCAAAACUCCCCUGCUGAUCAGUAGUGAGAUCGCACCUGUGAAUAGCCACUGCACUCCAGCUUGGGCAACAUAUCGAGACCUCGUCUCU